GACGAACGCUGGCGGCGUGCUUAACACAUGCCAGUCGAACGGAAAGGCCCUGCUUUUGUGGGGUGCUCGAGUGGCGAACGGGUGAGUAACACGUGAGUAACCUGCCCUUGACUUUGGGAUAACUUCAGGAAACUGGGGCUAAUACCGGAUAGGAGCUCCUGCUGCAUGGUGGGGGUUGGAAAGUUUCGGCGGUUGGGGAUGGACUCGCGGCUUAUCAGCUUGUUGGUGGGGUAGUGGCUUACCAAGGCUUUGACGGGUAGCCGGCCUGAGAGGGUGACCGGCCACAUUGGGACUGAGAUACGGCCCAGACUCCUACGGGAGGCAGCAGUGGAGAAUAGUGCACAAUGGGCGGAAGCCUGAUGCAGCAACGCCGCGUGCGGGAUGACGGCCUUCGGGUUGUAAACCGCUUUCGCCUGUGACGAAGCGUGAGUGACGGUAAUGGGUAAAGAAGCACCGGCUAACUACGUG
rnacentral:rRNA from 1 species